ACUAAAUGUAGGUAUCCCAAAGCUUUGUGAAUUGCUAGAAGUAACUUGAGAAAAAUAGAAAGCAGUGGAAAGCAUGUGCUGAAGGAAACUUAGCCAGGGAACAGAGAAGUACGAAGGACAGAAGGCGACCUACAGAGAGGACUCAGAAGGUUAAGAGUGAGCAGUCCAAUCUCAAGGAGGAGAAAACCAUCUAUCUUCAUCUGUGCUAGCAGGCUGCUCAGUAUGAGAACAUGGAGGACUGAAAUGAUUAAGCCUGACAGGACCCAACUCUCUGGAGAAACCCUUGAUUGGGAUUUGGAAGAUUGAAAGGUCAGUGUUCAACUCUGUCCCUACCUCUCCAGGUCUUCCUUUUUGCCUAUCCCAUAAGUUUCUAAAUGACUUUGAGGUUGGUGGGUGCGGGGAAGCCAUGAAGGUCAAUGCAAAUCUCCUGGGCUUUGAAAUCCUGACAUCCGGGUUAUAUCUCAGUUCUAUCAUUUGCUCGGCAUGUGGCCCCUAAACAAGUUAACCACCACUCUGAGCCUCAGUUUCCUCAAGUGUAAAAUAGGAAAGAUAAAAUCUACCUGCACAUUAAAAGUGACACAGUGUAUCUAAUUCAUGGGUCAAUUAUGGAGAGGAGUGUGUUGAAAUAUUUCACUAUGAUGGUGGAUUGGUUGAUUUCUUCUUGAAGUUCUGAUAAUGUAUACGGAGAACUUAGCACAGGGCAGGCAUGGUCGGCACUAAAUAAACACACACAUUUAACCGGCGGAAAGCUAACGUAGGGUGAUAGAUACAACAUUUUAUUUUUCACAGCCAUAAAAAAGAAAGAAAUCAUGUCCUUUGCAGCAACAUGGAUGCAGCUGGAGGCCAUUAUCCUAAGCGAAUUAACACAGGAACAGAAAACCAAAUAUUGCAUAUUCUGACUUACAAGCGGGAGCUAAACACUGGGUACUCGUGGACAUAAAGUUGGCAACAAUAGACAGUGGGGACUACUAAAGGGAAGAGGCGGAAGGAGGGAAAGGCAGAAAAACUAACUGCAGGGUACUAUGCUCAGUACCAGGAUGAUAGAUCAUUCGUACUUCAAACCUCGGCAUCAUGCAAUACACCCAUGUAACAAACCAGCACGUGUACCUCGU
rnacentral:lncRNA from 10 species